UGCCAGAGUCUUCAUGAAGGGGAAAAGGGU
rnacentral:piRNA from 1 species